AUUCUAACCACUAGGCUACCGGUCCAACACUCUAACCACUAGGCUACCUGCUGGUUACUGGCCCAACUCUCUAACCACUAGGCUACCUGCUGGUUACUGGCCCAACGCUCUAACCACUAGGCUACCUGCUGGUUACUGGUCCAACAUUCUAACCACUAGGCUACCUGCUGGUUACUGGUCCAACGCUCUAACCACUAGGCUACCUGCUGGUUACUGGUCCAACGCUCUAACCACUAGGCUACCUGCUGGUUACUGGUCCAACGCUCUAACCACUAGGCUACCUGCCGGUUACUGGUCCAACUCUCUAACCACUAGGCUACCUGCCGGUUACUGGUCCAACGCUCUAACCACAGGCUACCUGCUGGUUACUGGCCCAACACUCUAACCACUAGGCUACCUGCUGGUUACUGACCCAACCCUCUAACCACUAGGCUACCUGCUGGUUACUAGUCCAACGCUCUAACCACUAGGCUACCUGCUGGUUACUGGUCCAACGCUCUAACUACUAGGCUACCUGCUGGUUACUGGUCCAACGCUCUAACCACUAGGCUACCUGCCGGUUACUGGUCCAACUCUCUAACCACUAGGCUACCUGCCGGUUACUGGUCCAACGCUCUAACCACAGGCUACCUGCUGGUUACUGGGCCAACACUCUAACCACUAGGCUACCUGCUGGUUACUGGCCCAACGCUCUAACCACUAGACUACCUGCUGGUUACUGGCCCAACUCUCUAACCACUAGGCUACCUGCUGGUUACUGGUCCAACGCUCUAACCACUAGGCUACCUGCUAGUUACUGGUCCAACGCUCUAACCACUAGGCUACCUGCUGGUUACUGGUCCAACGCUCUAACCACUAGGCUACCUGCUGGUUACUGGUCCAACGCUCGAACCACUAGGCUACCUGCUGGUUACUGGUCCAACGCUCUGACCACUAGGUUACCUGCUGGUUACUGGUCCAACGCUCUAACCACUAGGCUACCUGCCCCAGUAUCCCCAGUAUCAUAAUAUUUAACUUAUUGAUAACACGGUUAUAUAAGGAGUUAAUCCACAUUUAGUUUAAAACAUUCAACAACUACUAUACGGUACAUUUCUUCCAUACCUUCCUCUCUGCCAAGAUGAAAAUGUCAGUUGAUUUUUCUCGUAAUAUUUGAUAAUAAAUUUAACUGCCAAAAUAAUAACGCUUGAGUAAAUCGGGGAUGCAAAGUGUAUUGAAGCAGGUGCUUCCACACAGGUGUGGUUUCCUGAGUUAAUUAAGCAAUUAACAUUCCAUUAUGCUUAGGGUCAUGCAUAAAAAUGCUGGGCAGGCCAUUAUUAUGGCUACCAUGGCUAUGUCCCCAUAGGAUGACAAUGCCCCAUCCACAGGGCAAGAGUGGUUUGAUGAGCAUGAAAACGAUGUAAACCAUAUGCCAUGGUCGUCUCAGUCACCAGAUCUCAACCCAAUUGAACACUUAUGGGAGAUUCUGGAGCGACGCCUGAUGCAGUGUUUUACACCACUGCCAACAAAACACCAACUGGAGGAAUUUCUCCUGGAAUAAUGGUGUCGCAUCCCUCCAACAGAGUUCCAGACACUUGUAGACUCUAUGCCAAGGUGAAGCUGUUCUGGCUCGUGGUGGUGUUUUAUUUUGUCAGUUACCUCUAUGUACUCUUAAUGUGCCAUUGGUUGGACAUGUCUAGUGCAGCCAUACCAUAGGGUCAUUAUUAGCCCCUUGUAGCUGGAUAAAGCUGUUUAGCAAGCUACCUAGGUCAUAAGAUUGUACAAGAUUUUAAAAUGUUUUCAGACAUUUAGCAGAUGCUCUUAUCCAGAGCAACUUACAGGAGCAGUUAGGGUUAAGUGCCUUGCUCAAGGGUACAUCAGCAUAUAUCCCCCCCCCCUGCCUAGUCAACUCUGGGAUUCGAACCAGUGACCUUUUGGUUAUUGGGCCAACGCUUAAAAGUGUGGUCUUUGUCAUAACCUAAACAACUGCCCUGAUCUCCUUGACACUAGCUAAAUAAAGUCAGUUAGUUGUUACCUGAGACAGUCGUAUAGCAUGUAAAAGAUAACAUUAACACGGAGGCAUUCUGGGUGAUGUGUUUUCCUCAGUAAGGUAGUAACACAUGCAGUAGGCCCAGGUGUUAUUUGGUCAGUAGAAGAUCCAGGGGCCUUUGGAUGUUCUACAGAGGGUCAGAUUGUGACUUAGGAGAUUGUUCAAUAGGGGAGUUGCUUUUCAUUCAACUUGAAAGAUUCAGUUUGUAUGUUAACUUGACAAAAUGUUCUGUAUGCAUUUAUUGUGUAUUUUUUGCCAUUGUGGUUUUCAUUUACUGAAAGAAAAUGGCAUGAAAAUGUAUUGCUUUUAGUACUUUUCUCCUUUGGCAGUUGCACAGGACUUCUAAAAUGAAUUAUUUGAGCACCUUUUUAAACGAUUUUAAAGGUCCAAUGCAGCUAUUUUUAUCUCAAUAUCUGGCAUUUCUGGGUAACAAUGAAGUACCUUACUGUGAUUGUUUUCAAUUAAAAUGGUCAAAAAGAAAAAACAAAAAUAGCUUUGUAGCAAAGAGCAAUUUCUCAAGCAAAUGUUUAGCUAGGACUGUCUGGAAGUGGCUCUGAGUGGGGAGGGGAAACUGAAAACUAGCUGUUAUUGGCAGAGAGGUUUGGAACUCUCUUUCUUAUUGGUCUAUUAACAAAUUUACUACAUGGUGAUGUCACCAUGUAAGGCCAAAACUCCCUCUCACCAAAACAGGCUGAAAUUUCAGGCAGUCUUUUCAAACAGCUCUUACACUAAAAGGAAAUUAUCAUAAUUUUCACAAUUUCACAGUAUUAUUCCAACCUCAUAGUGUGAAAAUAUAUAUGUAAAAUACAGUAAAUCAUGUUGUUGACUGUACUGGACCUUUAAAAAGACUGAGUCAGGAUACUCUACUACUGCCUUAUGACUACUUCAGUCCAUUCCUGAUCAUUUCUGUGUUCACAUCCCGUUUAGUUUAGUUAAAAACAGCCAAAGUGAAAGGCAGAAAUGACAUGUACCACAAUGCAGAUCUAAGUGUUUUAGUUCCAUCAGAUAUGAAUGAAUUGGUGGUUUACUGUAUUUAAUGUACUUUAGUGGACAAUGGCCGAGUCCGAUAUACAUGCCAACCUGAAGGAGGUACAGAGACAGGACAUGGCAUCUGCAUGGAACUUUUGAACAAAAAGGGGCUUUAAUGUUAGCCUGGUCCCAGUUCCGGAUCGGUUUGUGCUGUAUAUCAAAACAGCUGUAGGAGUUGGCUAUACAGCACACACUGAUCUGGGAACAGGAUACUUUAAUGUGAAAUGCUAGUGAGAGCUAAUCGUAGAGUUUACUGAACUCCAGAUUAUUACAACAAGUCAUUCAAAUACUUCUCUUGCUGUAUUAUUCAACGAUCCCAAAUAAAUAUUGUUAAUUCUGUCAUGUUGAGGGAAGCAAAACUGUUAUCAUUCUUAUGUUCUGGUAUAUGUAACGUGAAAUAUAUUCUGAAGUAAAAUUCUGAGAUAUUUUCAAUAAAUGUAUAAUUAAAUGAAUUGUUGCUCUACUGUUUGCAGUGCAGUUAUUUUCCCAGUAUUCUUGAAAUGCCUUAGCAACAGUCUGACACAUUUUGCGAGGAAUGUUGUAAUGCACUGUAAACAGAAGAUUUUCUACAGGUGGGAAAUAUACUGUGUUGAAGAUACUGUAUGUUCCUGUAUUUAAAUGCCACAUUGAUAUGAAUUAAUAUAUUGUUCAAAUGCCCAGUCAAAUAAAAAUACAUUGUACCUUUUGUCUAA
rnacentral:lncRNA from 1 species